UCUUACGGCCAUUCACGCCAGAAAGCACCAAAUCCCGUCCGAUCUUUGAAGUUAAGCUGGUGAUGGUGUCGUCAGCA
rnacentral:rRNA from 1 species